GAAAGCCUAUAGCGAAACCAUAU
rnacentral:siRNA from 1 species